rnacentral:rRNA from 1 species
UACGAAGGGGGCUAGCGUUGCUCGGAAUUACUGGGCGUAAAGCGCACGUAGGCGGUCUUUUAAGUCGGGGGUGAAAUCCUGGAGCUCAACUCCAGAACUGCCUUCGAUACUGGAAGACUUGAGUCCGGGAGAGGUGAGUGGAACUGCGAGUGUAGAGGUGAAAUUCGUAGAUAUUCGCAAGAACACCAGUGGCGAAGGCGGCUCACUGGCCCGGUACUGACGCUGAGGUGCGAAAAGCGUGGGGGAGCAAACAGG